ACACGUAUGAAAGACAAGCUGAAAGACUUUUCUCAAUGAUGUAAGUGGUGGUGCAUGGUCGUUCUUAGUUCGUGGAUUGAUUUGUCUGGUCUAUUCCGAUAACGAGCGAGACCCCGACGUUCCUAAUAGGGGUAGCAGCCCGGCUCGCUGGUGCAAAUCGGCUUGCUAGCACGCUACCUUAAUUAGCUUCUUAGACGUAUCAGAGCCGAUAAGGUUCUUGAAAUGGGUUAAUAACAGGUCAGUCAUGCCCUUAGAUGUUCUGGGCCGCACGCGCGUUACAAUGGUAUACAUUAGAACGUGCUCUUUUAGCGGCGUUUCCGCGGCCGAGAGGUCGCGGUAACCCAUAAUCUCUCCCUUGACUGGGACAGACUAUUGCAAUUAUUGGUCUCCAACGAGGAAUUUUUAGUAGUCACAGGUCAUUAACCUGUGACGA
rnacentral:rRNA from 1 species